CCUACGGGUGGCAGCAGUGAGGAAUAUUGGUCAAUGGGCGCGAGCCUGAACCAGCCAAGUCGCGUGAGGGAAGACGGUCCUAUGGAUUGUAAACCUCUUUUGUCGGGGAGCAAAAGACGCCACGCGUGGCGUUCCGAGAGUACCCGAAGAAAAAGCAUCGGCUAACUCCGUGCCAGCAGCCGCGGUAAUACGGAGGAUGCGAGCGUUAUCCGGAUUUAUUGGGGUUAAAGGGUGGGUCGGCGGAAGAUCAAGUCAGCGGUAAAAUUGAGAGGCUCAACCUCUUCGAGCCGGUGAAACUGGGUUUGUUGAGUGGGGGAGAAGGAUGGGGAAAGGGUGGUGUAGCGGUGAAAUGCAUAGAUAUCACGCAGAACUCCGAUUGCGAAGGCAGCAUACCGGCGCUCAACUGACGCUCAUGCACGAAAGUGUGGGUAUCGAACAGGAUUAGAUACCCGGGUAGUC
rnacentral:rRNA from 1 species